rnacentral:rRNA from 1 species
UACGAAGGGGGCUAGCGUUGCUCGGAAUCACUGGGCGUAAAGGGUGCGUAGGCGGGCCUUUAAGUCAGGGGCGAAAUCCUGGAGCUCAACUCCAGAACUGCCUUUGAUACUGAGGAUCUUGAGUUCGGGAGAGGUGAGUGGAACUGCGAGUGUAGAGGUGAAAUUCGUAGAUAUUCGCAAGAACACCAGUGGCGAAGGCGGCUCACUGGCCCGAUACUGGCGCUGAGGCACGAAAGCGUGGGGAGCAAACAGG